CCUACGGGUGGCAGCAGUGGGGGAUAUUGCACAAUGGGGGGAACCCUGAUGCAGCGACGCCGCGUGGGUGAAGAAGCGCCUCGGCGCGUAAAGCCCUGUCAGCAGGGAAGAAAAUGACGGUACCUGAAGAAGAAGCCCCGGCUAACUACGUGCCAGCAGCCGCGGUAAUACGUAGGGGGCAAGCGUUAUCCGGAUUUACUGGGUGUAAAGGGGGCGCAGACGGGGAUGCAGGCCAGGAGUGAAAGCCCGGGGCUCAACCCCGGGACUGCUCUUGGAACUGCGUGGCUGGAGUGCAGGAGGGGCAGGCGGAAUGCCUGGUGUAGCGGUGAAAUGCGUAGAUAUCAGGAGGAACACCGGUGGCGAAGGCGGCCUGCUGGACUGCAACUGACGUUGAGGCCCGAAAGCGUGGGGAGCAAACAGGAUUAGAUACCCUAGUAGUC
rnacentral:rRNA from 1 species